rnacentral:rRNA from 1 species
UACGGGGGGGGCAAGCGUUGUUCGGAAUUACUGGGCGUAAAGGGCCAGUAGGCGGCCAACUAAGUCGGAUGUGAAAUCCCCAGGCUUAACCUGGGAACUGCAUCCGAUACUGGAUGGCUUGAAUUCGGGAGAGGGAUGCAGAAUUCCAGGUGUAGCGGUGAAAUGCGUAGAUAUCUGGAGGAACACCGGUGGCGAAGGCGGCAUCCUGGACCAACACUGACGCUGAGGAGCGAAAGCCAGGGGAGCAAACGGG